UUCUUUAGAAUUUUCUGCUUCAUAUUCUUAGUUGACUUUUCUCAAUAAUUAAGAUGUUAACCAAUUUGUCCUUGUAGAGUUUAUAAACCUCAUUUUGUCAGAAUCAAUUCUGCAACAGAGAGCAUAUAUUGAAGGCUCCACAGGUGGUUUCUGUUGUUUUCAGUCCUUCUUCUCUUGCUCUCACCCUGGAUGGUCUGACCUUGUUGUGAACUUACCAAUUGUUCUGAUCUAAGAGCACUUCACUUGGUACUUUCAUCAAGUGAAUCAUCAAAUUCUAUAAUCAAAUUCUAUAAGCUGUGACAGUGUUCCCUUCAAGUGAGG